rnacentral:rRNA from 1 species
UACGUAGGUGGCAAGCGUUGUUCGGAAUUACUGGGCGUAAAGCGCGCGUAGGCGGCUCUUCAAGUCAGACGUGAAAGCCCCGGGCUUAACUCGGGAACUGCGUUUGAUACUGUCGAGCUAGAGUGUGGAAGGGGCGAUUGGAAUUCCGUGUGUAGCGGUGAAAUGCGUAGAUAUCAUUUGGAACGCCAAUGGUGAAAACAGGUAGCUGGGGCUGUGCUGACACUGAGACACGAAAGCCAGGGGAGCAAACGGG